UACGGAGGGUGCAAACGUUGCUCGGAAUCAUUGGGCGUAAAGCGCACGUAGGCGGCCUGUUAAGUCGGGUGUGAAAGCCCUGGGCUCAACCCAGGAAGUGCACUCGAAACUAUCAGGCUUGAAUAUGGAAGAGGGUCGCGGAAUUCCCGGUGUAGAGGUGAAAUUCGUAGAUAUCGGGAGGAACACCAGUGGCGAAGGCGGCGACCUGGGCCAAUAUUGACGCUGAGGUGCGAAAGCGUGGGGAGCAAACAGG
rnacentral:rRNA from 1 species